UACGUACGAGGCGAGCGUUAUCCGGAAUUACUGGGCGUAAAGCGUGCGCAGGCGGUCUUGCAAGACAGAUGUGAAAUCCCCGGGCUCAACCUGGGAACUGCAUUUGUGACUGCAAGGCUGGAGUACGGCAGAGGGGGAUGGAAUUCCGCGUGUAGCAGUGAAAUGCGUAGAUAUGCGGAGGAACACCGAUGGCGAAGGCAAUCCCCUGGGCCUGUACUGACGCUCAUGCACGAAAGCGUGGGGAGCAAACAGG
rnacentral:rRNA from 1 species